rfam:Ciona savignyi cont_37030, whole genome shotgun sequence.
GCCCGGUUAGCUCAGCCGGUAGAGCGUUGGACUUUUAAUCCAAAGGCCAAGGUUUCAAGUCCCUUAUCGGGCU